GACAGAGGGUGCAAACGUUGUUCGGAAUUACUGGGCGUAAAGCGUGUGUAGGCGGCUGCCUAAGUCGGAUGUGAAAGCCCCAGGCUUAACCUGGGAAGUGCACUCGAAACUGGGCAGCUAGAGUAUCGGAGAGGUUGGUGGAAUUCUCGGUGUAGAGGUGAAAUUCGUAGAUAUCGAGAGGAACACCGGUGGCGAAGGCGGCCAACUGGACGAAUACUGACGCUGAGACACGAAAGCGUGGGGAGCAAACAGG
rnacentral:rRNA from 1 species